ACUGGAAAUAGAAUCAUUAUUCAGGAUAACUGGACAUAUGUAGUGUGAACUAUUGGUACAAGUGUGUAAGUCACUCCAGGAAACCAGGGAGCCUGCUGUUGUGUUGUUUCAAAAGAUAAAUUAAAUCCUAUCGACUAGAAAAA